CAACAUGGUGAUUAUUUUAUGUUGAUGCGGUACAGUGAUUGGUUUCAUCCUAGAAAAAUAAUAAAUAUUACUGUAGGGAAGGAUCUUAAUAUUAGCAGAAUCCUGCUAAAUCAAUACGUGCUACUUGCUUGUGAGUGCGAAAUAGAAGUCUUAUUGCACACACAACCAGAACACACUCGUUGAUUGGCGUGUCCAGCACACGUGACCAUUAACCAAUGAAACAGCCCAGACCUGACCAGCACAACAGCCGGCUGUUCAUCACUACGGAAGGUCACCUCCCCUCGACGUGCCAGUCACCCUUUCUACCAUAGCGGCGCUUUGGUGUGGGCAGGGGCAUGUAACUCACGGCAGCUACAGCGGACUUUCAUCUCAGUUCUCUCCCAUGUUGGUCUUAGACCUGGAUUUCAGUCGACCGGGCAGGGUUUCGCGUGGUGCGUGAUAAGGGCCAGUCACUCACAUCCUAGCUGCUCC